rnacentral:rRNA from 1 species
CGGAACGUGCCCAGUCGUGGGGGAUAACGUAGCGAAAGCUACGCUAAUACCGCAUACGAUCUAUGGAUGAAAGCGGGGGACCGUAAGGCCUCGCGCGAUUGGAGCGGCCGAUGGCAGAUUAGGUAGUUGGUGGGGUAAAGGCUCACCAAGCCUACGAUCUGUAGCUGGUCUGAGAGGACGACCAGCCACACUGGGACUGAGACACGGCCCAGACUCCUACGGGAGGCAGCAGUGGGGAAUUUUGGACAAUGGGCGCAAGCCUGAUCCAGCCAUUCCGCGUGCAGGAUGAAGGCCCUCGGGUUGUAAACUGCUUUUGUACGGAACGAAAAGCCUUUUUCUAAUACAAGAAGGUCAUGACGGUACCGUAAGAAUAAGCACCGGCUAACUACGUGCCAGCAGCCGCGGUAAUACGUAGGGUGCAAGCGUUAAUCGGAAUUACUGGGCGUAAAGCGUGCGCAGGCGGUAAUGCAAGACAGAUGUGAAAUCCCCGGGCUCAACCUGGGAACUGCAUUUGUGACUGCAUUGCUGGAGUGCGGCAGAGGGGGAUGGAAUUCCGCGU